rfam:Tstilago hordei, Th4857-4, WGS project CAGI01000000 data, contig: THOR_scaffold_5.00033
UCCCAGUUAGUACAAUGGUUAGUAUAGGGCACUCUCAGUUUGUUAGCUGUUGUUUCAACCCGAACUUGAUUGUUCUGCUCAGAUCAGGGUUCGAUUCCCUGGCCGGGAA